GUCCCCGUAGCUCAAUUGGAUAGAGUGUCGGCCUCCGAAGCCGAAGGUUGCUGGUUCGAGCCCAGCCGGGGACG
rnacentral:tRNA from 1 species